rnacentral:lncRNA from 1 species
UUGAUUGAUCGUAUUUCGAUGAAGCUUACAAAAUGCAGAGAAUGAUUAAUAUAAAGUACUACUAAUGGGUUCCAUGACAACAGCUACUACACCCAAUACGAAUUUACGAAUCCCAAGCUUAUCAAUACUCCUCAGUUGACGACAACCUUGUCCUCAAGGUUGAACAUACAGUAGCAGCCUGUUAUCUUGAACCAAAACCUUGUCACUGAACACCAUGUUGGUCCUUUUGUGUACCACUCGGGUGCCCUUGGCAAAUGGAACCUUUCUUUAGUGAAGUGGAGAGUUUGUCUCAAAGCGGUCACUACAACUUCACCUCCUUUAACUUGGCUAUAAAACACCUGCAUCAUCAAUAGCUCCAGAC